ACAGAUGAUUAAAUAAAUACAAAGUAGUACAAUAUGGUAACCAAACCAUGAUUACAUAAAUACAAAAGUAGUACAAUAGUAUCCAAUCAGCCUAGGUUCUUUGGGCCCGAGGCUUCUUGUGCCAUUGUUCUACUACACAAUUGUCUUUCGUUUUUGUAAUCACGAAAUUAACGGAAAUGAUUCAUAAAAUAUGUGAUGUACUAUUCAUGUUUCCGUCACAAUUAAAAAUUUAUCCUCGAAUUGCAGAAUCCCAACCGCACCUCAUCUUCCAUUUCUACUGCAAUAUUGUACCUUCCUUUCUCACAUCAACACAAAUCCUUCACCCGUUGCUGCUCCUCCAUGUGCAUUAGGGUCUCCCAAACUAACUUCAAACCAUGCCUUUUUGCUCUCGGUCCCAGUCAUAGAGUGCAUCACCAUUGCUGUAGCUCGGUGGCGAAGCUCGAAGUCCCAAAGGUAAAGAUCAUUCCUUGCUGCCAUUGCGUUCCAUUGAGUGUAUUUUUAUGGAAAAAUUGAAGAACUAACACAUGCAACUGCUUUCUCUGCGAGGACUCUCUGUUCCACAACAAAAGAAAUGCACCAACACCCAAGCUUCACAGAUCCAGGGCCAAUAAAAACCCAUCUAUGUUCCCAUUGAUGCACAGGAUUGGACUCCGAUGUCGUGGAUGACGGCAUGCAAAAGAAAUGCUGGGACCGCGCAGAGCCGUUGUAAAUGGGAAGAGAGAGCACUGAAGGCGUGGAUCCAAAAUAAAAGAUCCGUGUAUGACAAGGAAAAAACAAAACAAAGGAGAACCCUCGGAGGCUAGAGAUCCGUGUAAAGAAAAGGACAUCGGAGCUGUGAUAGAUCCGAGAGAGAAUGCUCAAGCUGCAGAUUUAGUCAACAAAAAUGGCAAAAGAAGUUUCCAAGUUACCAUGACUUCGGAUCUGAAAGUUAUGGCGCCGUAUCUCCGCUGGAAUCCAUGCUGGAUGUUUAAACUUCUGUAAAUGAGCAUGGCAUGCAUGUAUUAUCUGUGAAAUCACCCCAAAACUUAAUAUGAGUAACAAAUGUGGACUGUAAAUACUGGACAAAAGUUUAGAUCUGUACGGGGAUGAGAUUUUUGGACUUAGAACACGCCUUCUCCCAGUAAUAAAAGUGAAUGAAAACCUGGAUCAGCCCUGAACAUAUAUGUGGACCAUUUGGACUUGAUCUGUGCUGAGCACAGAUAAAGAACCAACCCCCAAAUUCAAAUAACGGCAUACAUGGCGUCUUCGAAUGUAGAAGUUGUAGAUAUGCACAAAAAUAAUGCAUCCUCAAUAACUCAUCAACCUGAAUGAUUUGUUGCAGGAAUAUGCUAGAUCCACAAAGGCAGCUCAACGUUGAAGCCAGAAACCAUAUCUAAUGGUCCACACAGAAGAAUGGCUGCGCGACAAAACAGAAAGGUAUAACGUCCUAUCCCUGCAACUCGGGGCACAGAUUGGGUUGCAAAAAUGUAGAUCUGGUAAACAUGAUGGAGAUCAGUUCUGCAGUAUGUGGAUCUGUGAUUUUUGUAUAUUCUGCUUCCACAUAUCAAAGAACUGCAUCCCAGAAACCAAUGGUCAGAUGUACACUUUUGGGACUGGAUCUGUGAGUCUGCAAGAUCUUUGUAAUUUCUGCAAUAUUCUUCAGCAUAGUAUAGGGAUGUGGUUGAUGUUAAUGUAGACUUGCUGCUGGGUGCAUGAUCCAGUAUAGGAUAAUCUCUGUGCAUUGAUUCUUGUUCGUCUUGUUUGUUGCCCUACAAAACCCAAGUCUUGAGAAUUAGAGAUAGAAUGUAAAGGACCCCGAAAUGUAAACUAGAGUUACUUAGGAAAUAAAACAAUUAAAGCAAAGUAUUGUUUUGUUAUUUUUUUCAGAUUUCUAUUUUUGUUUAUGUUUUUGUUUUGUUUUGUUUUUUGUUUUUGUUUUUUUUUUUUUUUUUGUUGAUAUGAUUAUUUGUGAAACUAAAUGACAACCUAGGAAAUUAAAUGCAUCUAGAAACUGAAAAUAAUGAAACAAACUUGAAAGAAAAUAAGGAAAGUUAGAAAAUUGGGUUGUCUCCCAAUAAGCGCUUUAUUUUAAGUCGUAGCUAGACUUUGCAGAAGCCUGGUGGUUAGAUCACUGGUUCCUUCAGAGUCAAUGACUCAGUUGCACUGUCGAAGAGUGAUGCCAAGUAUGGGUUCAACCUGUGACCAUUCACCUUGAAUGUGUUGCCAUUCAUCUCGCUUGUAAUGUCAACUGCCCCAUGCGGAUAAAUCUUAGUAACCAAGUAAGGCCCAUUCCAACGAGAUUUCAAUUUCCCUGGAAAUAACUUUAAUCUGGAAUUGGAUAACAACACUUUCUGCCUUGGCUGGAAAUCUUUUCUGAGAAUUUGUUUGUCAUGGAAUUGCUUUUGUUUUGUCUUUGUAUAUGCGUGCAUUUUCAUAAGCUUCACGACGAAUUUCAUCAAGCUCAUUAAGCUGUAGCAUACUCUUUUCUCCUGCUGAAUCGUAAGUAAAAUUUAACUCCUUAACAGCCUAAAACGCCUUAUGCUCUAGCUCCAUAAGUAAAUGACAAGCCUUGCCAUACACAAGCCGAAACGGGGACAUCCCAAUCGGUGUUUUAAAUGCUGUUAUGUAUGCCCAGAAUGCAUCGUUUAAUUUCAAACUCCAGCCUUUGUGAGUGGAGCCAACUGUUUUUUCCAAAAUACGCUUAAUUCCUGUGUUUGAAACUUCAACCUACCCUAACGUUUGUGGACGACAAGGAGUGGCAACACAAUGAUUUAUCCCAUAUUUUGCAAGUAAUGUAGCAAAUGGUUUAUUAAUAAAAUGCUUUCCCCCAUCACUAAGUAUAACUUGCGUGAUUCCAAAUUGUGAAAAAAUAACCCCUUAGAGGAAUUUUAGAACCACUGAUCCUUGAUUAGUUGGUGAUGCAAUUGUCUCGACCCACUUAGAAACAUACUCAACUGCCACCAAAAUAUAUUGAUUGCCAUGUGAUGAUGGGAAUGGUCCCAUAAAAUCAAUACCCCAAACAUUAAAUAAUUCAACAACCAAAAUACCAUGGUAUGGCAUCUCAUUCUGCUUGGAUUGGUUUUCCACUUGUUGACAACGAUCACAAGAUUUACACCAAUUAUUAGCAUCCUUGCAAAGGGAAGGCCAAAACAACCCACUUUGUAGAAUUUUAGCUAUUGUCUUUGUAGUCUCAAAAUGUCCACCACAAGCAUAAUGAUGUGCAAACUUUAAAACGUUGUGUUGUUCCUCCUCUGGAAUACAUAUGCGAAUAAUCUGACAUAGGCAGUAUUUGUACAGACACGGCUCAUCCCAAAAAUAAAAUUUUACAUUUGUCAAAAGUUUCUUUUUCAUCUGGAUUAAUAACUCCCCUGGCCAAAUAAUUAACAACAUCUGCAAAGCAUGGUAUAUUGUGAUGGACAGCCAACAACUGUUCAUCAGGAAAACUUUCAUUAAGAGGUAAUGUGUCAUCUUGUGCACUAGCAGGAUUAAUUAAUCUUGAUAAAUGAUUAGCCACCAUGUUUUCACUGCCCUUUUUGUCCCUAAUUUCCAAAUCAUACUCUUGAGGUAAAAAAAUCCAUCGAAUAAGUCGAGGUUUAGCAUCCUUUUUAGAUAACAAAUACUUCAGUGUAGCAUGAUAUGUGUAGACAAUUACCUUAGCUCCAAUUAAAUAAGAACGAAAAUUUUCUAAUGCAAAAACAACUACCAACAAUUCUUUUUUGGUGGUUGCAUAGUUGAGUUGUGCAUCAUUGAGAGUUCUGCUGGCAUAAUAAAUGACUUGAGGAAGCUUGUCUUUUCCCUGUCCAAGAACUGCCCCAACUGCACAAUUUGAUGCAUCACACAUUAAUUCAAACGGUAAGUUCUAGUCCAGAGCUGCAAUAAUCAGUGCUAAAGUAAGGAGUGUUUUUAACUUGUUGAAAGCCUCCAAGCAUCCAUCAUCAAAAACAAACUGUGCAUCCUUAGCCAAUAAAUUACACAAGGGUUGGCUAAUCUUGGAGAAAUCCUUGAUAUACCAUCUGUAAAAUCCAACAUGCCUAAGAAACGAACGAAUGCUCUUCACAGUGGUAGAGGGUGGCAACUUAGCAAUAACAUCAAUCUUAGCUUUAUCAACUUCAAUACCUCUGCUAGAUACUAAGUGCCUUAAGGCCUUGUUUAACCAUAAAAUGACACUUCUCCCAAUUCAAAACCAAAUUAGUUUCUUUGCAACGUUCAAGAACCAAUGAUAAAUUCUACAAACAAUGAUCAAACGAAUCCCCAAAAACAGAAAAAUCAUCCAUAAAUACCUCAACACUUGUUCAACCAAACCUGAGAAUAUGAUCAUCACGUAACGUUGGAAUCUUGCUGGUGCAUUGCAUAAUCCAAAAGGCAUUCUUCUGUAAGCAAACAUACCAAAAGGGUAUGUGAAGGUGGUCUUUUCCUGAUCUUCUGGAGCAACUAGAAUUUGAUUGUAGCUUGAAUACCCAUCAAAAAAAUAAUAGAAAGCUCGACUUGCCAAUCUCUCCAACAUCUGAUCAGUAAAUGGUAAUGGAAAGUGAUCAUUUAUAGUACCUGUAUUGAUCUUUUUGUAGUCAACGCACAUUUGCCUCCUAGUAGUUAAACGUGUAGGCACAAGCUCAUUGUUGUCAUUUUUCACAACUGUAAUUCUAGUGCAUUUAGGUACCACUUGAGUUAGACUAGCCCAUUUACUAUUUGAAAUUGGAUAAAUCAUUCCAGCAUCUAAAAGCUUCAUAACCUCAUUUCGAACAACUUCCUUCAUAAUCGGAUUCAACUGGCGUUGGGCAUCAAUGGUGCGUUUGACACCCUCCUCCAUCAAAAUUAUAUGCAUACAAAGUGUUGGGUUGAUCCCUUUAAUAUCUGGAAUUGUCCACCCAAUGGCAUCUUGAAAACUUCUCAAGAUGCGCAACAAUUUGUCUUCCUUAAUUAGAGAUAAAUCUGCAAAAACAAUGACUGGCAGCGAUGAAUUAGCACCCAAAUAAAUAUGUUUAAAGUGCUCGGGUAAUGGCUUCAAUUCCAGCUUAGGUGGCUGUAUUUUUUAAUGUUGUAAUGGUGUUUUUGGUUCCUCCAAACUCUCAAAAAUGUGCCUCCACUUUGGCUGGUGUAAAAGGACACUUUCCAAAGCUGUAACAUACUCAAAUACCUCUUCAUCUUCAGUUUUUGUGUCUUCAAAACCAUGUAAAACAUUUAACAAUGGAUCUGCUGUCAAAUGGGGCAUAAUAUAUGCAGGCAUGAUGCCUUCUAACACAUCAACUCGCAUACAAUCUUGCAUAUCACUGGGCCUCUUAGUCGUUUCAAAUAAAUUAAAAACAACAGAUUGUUCUUGUACUCUAAGUGUCAAUGUUCCAGCUUUCACAUCGAUCAAAGUUCUAGCGGUUUCCAUGAAUGGGCGCCCCAAAAUAAUAUGUGUUUGCAUAUCUUUAUCCAUAUCCAAAACCAUAGAAUCUGCUGGAAGGUAGAUAUUAUCCACUUUGAUAAUAAGAUCUUCAAUAAUGCCCCUAGGAUAAGUGUAAAAUAACUGAUGUUAUCUGCUUUGACAGUUAUCCGCUAACUGUAAAAUAACUGAUGUUGGUUUGAUUUUUCCUUGUCCUAGGCUCUGAAAAACAGAAAAAUGCAUUAAAUUAAUACUAGCACCCGAAUCGAUUAAAGCACGUUUAAAAUCUGAAUUUCCAAUUAUGCGUGAUUUUGUAAAACUCCCUAGAUUUUUUUCUGUGGUGGCAAUUUUUGUAAUAAAACCACACUGCAUUAUUAUGUGAGAAUCACUUUUUCAAAAUCCACAAGCUUCUUUUUCUUUGUGCACACAUUUUUCAAAAACUUGGCAUAUGAGGGAAUGUUCUUGAUUGCAUCAAUUAACACUAGAUUAAUUUGAACUUUAGCUAAUGUCUUCAUAAAAUCUGUUAAUUGUUGAUCUUUGGCAUGAGACUUCAAUCUUUCGGGAUAUGGCAUUGGUGGCACAUAAACACUGCAGCAAUUUCUAUUGUUUUUGGAUCUAUCCAAGGGCUGUGCAAAUUCUGCUGAAAUUUUAGAAUCUACAAAAAUAUUAAAAUUUGUCUUUGGCUAGCAAGUUGAUGUCCGUGAACUUUCUGCAUCAUUUUUUUCAUUUGCUACAUUUAUGUUGUCAUAACUUUUACCACAACACAGUGUUCUAACAGCAUUAGAAUCAGCAUGUCCUCAUGGAUUUUGAACAGUUUGACUGGGAUAUUUUCCUGGUUCUCUAUUUGACCUUUGUUGUGCAAUCUGUCCAAUUUGCUGCUGUA